UUCGUGGUUCAGGCGUGCUGCUUGGGCUGGUGCCAGCUUGAUGCUGCUGCUGCUCAUGCCAUUUGCAUGCGCGCUGGUUGGGAAGCAGAGUAGCGCGUGUGGUGGUGCAGGUUGAUCCUCAAGUAGUGCUUGUUAUCGGGAACAAUGUCGCGGAUACCAUUUCCAAUCUUGUCGCUCAGCACCAGAUACAGAUCCUCGUCGUCGGUGCCAGCAGGGGCUCCUUCAAUAGGACGUCCUCCAAAAUCUGUAAGGGUGUCCCCAGCUUUUUGCACAGCGUAUGUUGUUUCAAAGGAUGAAUCGUCUUCGGUUUACGUUCCGGGAUCAAAGAUUGACGUGACCUCUGGCUCUGGGGUACCGAAAGGAAACUCCAGCAGCUCCAACACCGAAGUAUU